rnacentral:rRNA from 1 species
CCUACGGGGGACUGCAGUGGGGAAUAUUGCACAAUGGGGGAAACCCUGAUGCAGCGACGCCGCGUGAGUGAAGAAGUAUUUCGGUAUGUAAAGCUCUGUCAGCAGGGAAGAAAAUGACGGUACCUGACCAAGAAGCCCCGGCUAACUACGUGCCAGCAGCCGCGGUAAUACGUAGGGGGCAAGCGUUAUCCGGAUUUACUGGGUGUAAAGGGAGCGUAGGUGGCAUGGCAAGCCAGAAGUGAAAACCCGGGGCUUAACCCCGCGGAUUGCUUUUGGAACUGUCAGGCUGGAGUGCAGGAGGGGCAGGCGGAAUUCCUGGUGUAGCGGUGAAAUGCGUAGAUAUCAGGAGGAACACCGGUGGCGAAGGCGGCCUGCUGGACUGUAACUGACACUGAGGCUCGAAAGCGUGGGGAGCAAACAGGAUUAGAUACCCGUGUAGUC